rnacentral:lncRNA from 1 species
UUCUCUCCAAGUCUCCGUCACCUCCACUUUCUCUCUCAUCUUCUCCAAAGCUCUCCCUCUCUCUCAUCCUCUCCAAGUUAUCCUUCUCUUCCACUUUCUCUCUCAUCUUCUCCAAAGCUCUCCCUCUCUCUCAUCCUCUCCAAGUUAUCCUUCUCUUCCACUUUCUCUCUCAUCCUUUCCAAGCUCUCUUUCUUCCAAGCUCUCAUCCUCUGUCACUUCUUCAUUUUGGUGUGCAGGUGCUUCGUCAUAGACCAUAACCACCGAGCUAUCUUUCUCUUCCACUUUCUCUCUCAUUCAAGCUCUCUUUUUUCCAAGCUCUCUCAUCCUCUAUCACUUCUUCGUUUUGGUCUGUAGGUGGUUCGUCAACCGUGGUUCUCCUUAAUUGGGUUUGCCCCAAUCUAAUUCGGAUUCUUGAGCAAAAUUUACUAUGUGGCAAUUCUUUUGGAAAAUUUACUAUGUGGCGAUUCUCUUAUUCGGGCAAAUUUACUAUGUGGCUAUUCUCUUAUUCAAAAUUUACUAUGUGGCAAUUCUUUUGGAAAAUUUACUAUGCGGCGAUUCUCUUAUUCGGGCAAAUUUACUGUGGCUUUACUCUUAUUCAGGCUUAAAGCUGGUGUGCAGGUUGGAGUGGGAGCUUUCUCUCUAAAAUCAGCUGAGGAGAAAAAUCCAGAAGCUCAAAUCAGCGGAGGAGAAAUCCAGGAUCAAACCUAUAACACCGAUUAUGGAGAAUGGCGACAUGGAAAAUUAUGUCUAAGAAUCCGAAUUGGAUUAAGGUAAGCCGGUUGAAAGAGGGCCAGAAUGCGUCUUGUGUUUUAUGACGAAGUACCUGAACAGAGGAUGAGAGAGAGCUUGAUGAGAGAGAGCUGAGAGAAGAUGAGAGAAAAAGUGGAUGAGAGGGACAGUUGGAGAGAAUGUAAAAGAAGAAGGGCCUCUUAGAAAUGUUCAUAGAUCGAUGUGUGCAUAAACGCCUACAUUCCAUUUUCUUGUUUCUUUUGUUUGUUCAUUUUCUUGUUUCUUUUAUUUUCCUUUUCUUUUCUUCUCUCUAAACCGAUCUUUCUCUCUCUUAAUUUGACUGAUCUUACUUUGAAUCAUCAAUUUUUUAGUGUUUCAAGUCUAAAAGCAUAACAAGGAGGACGAUUGGGUAAAGAGCGAAAAGACAGAUAUGGAAGCUGUAGAAGACAAAUGAUGAUGCCUAGAACCUUGUUUGUUAUAUUUUCUGAGAUUUAGCAGUCAAUCAACUUUCCUUUCUAAUUCAUUUGAAGUAACUCUUUCAUAUUUUUUUGCUUUCUUUUUAAUUUUCAAAGCAUCGAUUUCAUAGCAAUGUGCAUGCCAUUCUUUCAUCAACAGUAACAAUCUCAAUUGUAUUUGAUGUUGUGAUUUACAAUGUGAGAGUGUUCAAUAAAAUGCUGGUGAUUGCUUCAUCUGUAUCGGUU